CAAUAGCGUAUAUUAAAGUUGUUGCGGUUAAAAAGCUCGUAGUUGGAGUUCUGCCAGGUGCCGCCUGUCCGCCCCAGUGGUGAGUACGUGGCGCGCAUUUGGCCCUUUCAAGGGGAGCGUAUCUGCACUUUAUUGUGUGGUGCGGGAUCCUUGACUUUUACUUUGAGGAAAUAGGAGUGUUCCAAGCAGGCUCUCGUCGUGCACAGCUCAGCAUGGAAUAAUAGCAUUGGACCUCGAUUCUAAGCUGUUGGUUGCCAGAAGCGAGGUAAUGAUGAAGAGGGAUAGUUGGGGGCAUUCGUAUUUAACUGUCAGAUGUGAAAUUCUUGGAUUUGUUAAAGACGGACUACUGCGAAAGCAUCUGCCAUGGAUGUUUUCAUUGA
rnacentral:rRNA from 1 species